GCUCAGGGACACCUCGACACUGAGGAGGAGCCGGGGAUCAAACUGGCAACCUUGCUCUAACUCCUGAGCUCCUGUUUUUUUGGCCAAGUCUUGCUUGACUUAUAGGUUUCAAAAUCUCAAUGAGACAAUAACCUGCUUCAAUAAAGAACUGUCAUCAGUAGAGGAAAGUUGCAAACGUUUAGAGAGGAUUGUACUUAUUUUCCCCCGACGGUGGAUCAGUGACUGUGCCGCUAAUGCGGACAAAAACCGGUAUGUACGGUAACGGGACAAUCUUUACAAGUCCUUUGUUGUCCGAGAUGAUUCUCUUACUGCUCAGGGACCGCCCAGUCAUCGACUGACCCCGGUUAACGGUACUGGUCAAGGUCCCGGUUAAGGGUUAACCCCGUGUGUUUACCGUUGGAGUCCAUGGGGAGGAGGUUAAGGUACAGGUUAAGGGUUAACCAGGUGUGUUUACCGUUGGAGUCCAUGGGGAGGAGGUUAAGCAGUGUGAGGACCUCCACACACAGCCGGUGGUCCGAGCGCCGGUAAGAGAUGAGCAGCG
ensembl:lncRNA